rnacentral:rRNA from 1 species
UACGGAGGAUCCGAGCGUUAUCCGGAUUUAUUGGGUUUAAAGGGUGCGCAGGCGGGAAAUUAAGUCGGCGGUGAAAUUUUGCGGCUCAACCGUAAAAGUGCCUUCGAUACUGGUUUUCUUGAGUGUAGCUGAAGUAGGCGGAAUUUGUGGUGUAGCGGUGAAAUGCAUAGAUAUCACGAGGAACUCCGAUUGCGCAGGCAGCUUACUAAACUACUACUGACGCUCAUGCACGAAGGCGUAGGGAUCAAACAGGAUUAGAUACCCGCGUAGUCCCU